rnacentral:rRNA from 1 species
GUGGGGAAUAUUGCACAAUGGGGAAACCCUGAUGCAGCGACGCCGCGUGAAGGAAGAAGUAUCUCGGUAUGUAAACUUCUAUCAGCAGGGAAGAUAGUGACGGUACCUGACUAAGAAGCCCCGGCUAACUACGUGCCAGCA